rnacentral:lncRNA from 1 species
UAGCCAUUAGAAAGUAGUGAGAUAACUGACUUCGGUUCCGACUGGGGUUGGUUGAGACUCGAUACUACACUCUUUGAGAUUGGACUUUAGGGAAGCUUCGGUCAACCACUUGGUGUUGCACUGAAGUGGACUUAAAGGAAGGUCGAUGAUCUGAGAUCCUUCUAGAACCCGGUUACUAUUCUAGGACAGGUUGAACCAACCAAACUUCAGUGGGGAGGGUACUUACCUAUGGAACUCAUGCAAGCCUUAAAACCUAGGAAUGAUUGUUGUGUGACUUGUUUAU